rnacentral:rRNA from 1 species
CAGUCGCCGCGGUAAUACGUAGGGGGCGAGCGUUGUCCGGAAUGACUGGGCGUAAAGGGUGCGUAGGUGGUUUAAUAAGUUAGAAGUGUAAUACCCAGGGCUUAACUCGGGUGCUGCUUCUAAAACUGUUAGGCUUGAGUGUAGUAGAGGAAAGCGGAAUUCAAUGUGUAGCGGUGGAAUGCGUAGAUAUAUUGAAGAACAUCAGUGGCGAAGGCGGCUUUCUGGACUAUAACUGACACUGAGGCACGAAAGCGUGGGGAGCAAACAGGAUUAGAUACCCCUGUAGUCCCUGUCUCUUAUU